AUUCCAGCUCUAAUAGCGUAUAUUAAUGUUGUUGCAGUUAAAAAGCUCGUAGUUGGAUUUUGGUGUUUGACAAAUGGUCUGCCUUCGGGUUUGCACUGUUUGUUGGCACUUCUUUUCUGGGGAACUCACUGCUCUUAAUUGAGGGGUGCUGUAACGCAGAUCGUUUACUUUGAAAAAAUUAGAGUGUUCAAAGCAGGCCAACGCAUUGAAUACAUUAGCAUGGAAUAAUGGAAUAGGACUUUGGUCUUAUUUUGUUGGUUUUCGGAAAUCGACUUAAUGAUUAAUAGGGACAGUCGGGGGCAUUUGUAUUCAAACGACAGAGGUGAAAUUCUCGGACCGCUUGAAGACAAACUACUGCGAAAGCAUUUGCCAAGAAUGUUUUCAUCA
rnacentral:rRNA from 1 species